rnacentral:rRNA from 1 species
UGGGGAAUAUUGGACAAUGGGCGCAAGCCUGCUCCAGCCAUGUCGCGUGAGUGAUGAAGGCCCUAGUGUUGUAAAGCCCUUUCACCGGUGAAGAUAAUGACGGUAACCGGAGAAGAAGCCCCGGCUAACUUUGUGCCAGCAGCCGCGGUAAUACGAAGGGGGCUAGCGUUGUUCGGAUCUACUGGGCGUAAAGCGCACGUAGGCGGACUAUUAAGUCAGGGGUGAAAUCUCGGAUCUCAACCCCGGAACUGCCGUUGAUACUGGUAGUCUUGAGUUCGAGGGAGGUGAGUGGAAUUCCGAGUGUGGAGGUGAAAUUCGUAGAUAUUCGGAGGAACGCCAGAGGCGAAGGAGGCUCACUGGCUCGAUACUGACGCUGAGGUGCGAAAGCGGAGGGAGCGAACAGG